AAGACUGUAUUUUCAGGGAUCGUUUCUAUAGUUCGUUCCUAGAGGAGUUUCUCUGAUCAUGUAGAGCACCGGAAACCACAAGCAGGAGGUGUGGCGUCCUUUCCAGAGUGUGAAGCCAGCUCUUGGUGUUGCUGCAACUGUCAUUUGCCAUUGAUAAUUGUUCUUGCUUUUCUUCGGGGAAGUAAGAGGGUGAGGAUGCAGGCUGCAUGGU
rnacentral:snoRNA from 1 species